rnacentral:rRNA from 1 species
GCGCGAAAACUUUACAAUGCUGGCAACAGCGAUAAGGGAACCUCGAGUGCCAGGUUACAAAUCUGGCUGUCGAGAUGCCUGAAAAGCAUUUCAUAGCAAGGGCCGGGCAAGACCGGUGCCAGCCGCCGCGGUAACACCGGCGGCUCGAGUGGUAACCGUUAUUAUUGGGUCUAAAGGGUCUGUAGCCGGCCGGAUAAGUCUCUUGAGAAAUCUGGCAGCUUAACUGUCAGGCUUUCAGGAGAUACUGUCUGGCUCGAGGCCGGGAGAGGUGAGAGGUACUUCAGGGGUAGGGGUGAAAUCUUGUAAUCCGUGAAGGACCACCAGUGGCGAAUGCGUCUCACCAGAACGGACCUGACGGCAAGGGACGAAAGCUAGGGGCACGAACC